rnacentral:rRNA from 1 species
AUUGAACGCUGGCGGCAGGCCUAACACAUGCCAGUCGAACGGUAACAGGAAGAAGCUUGCUUCUUUGCUGACGAGUGGCGGACGGGUGAGUAAUGUCUGGGAAACUGCCUGAUGGAGGGGGAUAACUACUGGAAACGGUAGCUAAUACCGCAUAACGUCGCAAGACCAAAGAGGGGGACCUUCGGGCCUCUUGCCAUCGGAUGUGCCCAGAUGGGAUUAGCUAGUAGGUGGGGUAACGGCUCACCUAGGCGACGAUCCCUAGCUGGUCUGAGAGGAUGACCAGCCACACUGGAACUGAGACACGGUCCAGACUCCUACGGGAGGCAGCAGUGGGGAAUAUUGCACAAUGGGCGCAAGCCUGAUGCAGCCAUGCCGCGUGUAUGAAGAAGGCCUUCGGGUUGUAAAGUACUUUCAGCGGGGAGGAAGGGAGUAAAGUUAAUACCUUUGCUCAUGGACGUUACCCGCAGAAGAAGCACCGGCUAACUCCGU